GUCUCAAAGAUUAAGCCAUGCAUGUCUAAGUAUAAGCACUUGUACUGUGAAACUGCGAAUGGCUCAUUAAAUCAGUUAUCGUUUAUUUGAUUGUACUUUACUACAUGGAUACCUGUGGUAAUUCUAGAGCUAAUACAUGCGAAAAAUCCCAACUUCUGGAAGGGAUGUAUUUAUUAGAUUAAAAACCAAUGCGAAUUUUCGGAUUCGUUUUCUUGGUGAUUCAUGAUAACUUUUCGAAUCGCAUGGCCUAGCGCCGGCGAUAUUUCAUUCAAAUUUCUGCCCUAUCAACUGUCGAUGGUAAGGUAGUGGCUUACCAUGGUUAUAACGGGUGACGGAGAAUUAGGGUUCGAUUCCGGAGAGGGAGCCUGAGAAACGGCUACCACAUCUAAGGAAGGCAGCAGGCUCGAAAAUUACCCAAUCCCGACUCGGGGAGGUAGUGACAAGAAAUAACGAGACGGGGUCUUAAUAGGUCUCGCAAUUGGAAUGAGUACAAUUUAAAUCCUUUAACGAGGAUCAAUUGGAGGGCAAGUCUGGUG
rnacentral:rRNA from 1 species